UGGGGAAUAUUGCACAAUGGGCGCAAGCCUGAUGCAGCCAUGCCGCGUGUAUGAAGAAGGCCUUCGGGUUGUAAAGUACUUUCAGCGGGGAGGAAGGGAGUAAAGUUAAUACCCUUGCUCAUUGACGUUACCCGCAGAAGAAGCACCGGCUAACUCCGUGCCAGCAGCCGCGGUAAUACGGAGGGUGCAAGCGUUAAUCGGAAUUACUGGGCGUAAAGCGCACGCAGGUGGUUUGUUAAGUCAGCUGUGAAAUCCCCGGGCUCAACCUGGGAACUGCAUCUGGUACUGGCCAGCUUGAGUCUCGUAGAGGGGGGUAGAAUUCCAGGUGUAGCAGUGAAAUGCGUAGAGAUCUGGAGGAAUACCGGUGGGGAAGGCGGCCCACUGGACGAAGACUGACGCUCAGGUGCGAAAGCGUGGGGAGCAAACAGG
rnacentral:rRNA from 1 species